rnacentral:ncRNA from 22 species
CAAGCCAGAAGAGGCGCGUCGCCCAGGUAAGAUAUCGGAGGAACCGUAAUCCGCUGAUGAUAUCCGAGGGGGAGCGACGCCGAGAUGCGGUGAAAUUCGGCUUUCACCCUAUCGACUACAGAGGCUGAAUCCUCUGGGUUGUCACCGGAUUCGUCCUGAUGGACGUCCAGCAAGGUGGAGCGCUUCUGGGUGU